rnacentral:rRNA from 1 species
UCGAACGAUGAAGCCUUUCRGGGUGGAUUAGUGGCGAACGGGUGAGUAACACGUGGGCAAUCUGCCCUUCACUCUGGGACAAGCCCUGGAAACGGGGUCUAAUACCGGAUAAUACUUCUGCCUGCAUGGGCGGGGGUUGAAAGCUCCGGCGGUGAAGGAUGAGCCCGCGGCCUAUCAGCUUGUUGGUGAGGUAGUGGCUCACCAAGGCGACGACGGGUAGCCGGCCUGAGAGGGCGACCGGCCACACUGGGACUGAGACACGGCCCAGACUCCUACGGGAGGCAGCAGUGGGGAAUAUUGCACAAUGGGCGAAAGCCUGAUGCAGCGACGCCGCGUGAGGGAUGACGGCCUUCGGGUUGUAAACCUCUUUCAGCAGGGAAGAAGCGCAAGUGACGGUACCUGCAGAAGAAGCGCCGGCUAACUACGUGCCAGCAGCCGCGGUAAUACGUAGGGCGCAAGCGUUGUCCGGAAUUAUUGGGCGUAAAGAGCUCGUAGGCGGCUUGUCGCGUCGGUUGUGAAAGCCCGGGGCUUAACCCCGGGUCUGCAGUCGAUACGGGCAGGCUAGAGUGUGGUAGGGGAGAUCGGAAUUCCUGGUGUAGCGGUGAAAUGCGCAGAUAUCAGGAGGAACACCGGUGGCGAAGGCGGAUCUCUGGGCCAUUACUGACGCUGAGGAGCGAAAGCGUGGGGAGCGAACAGGAU